UACGAAGGGGGCUAGCGUUGCUCGGAAUCACUGGGCGUAAAGCGCACGUAGGCGGAUUGCUAAGUCAGGGGUGAAAUCCUGGAGCUCAACUCCAGAACUGCCUUUGAUACUGGCGACCUUGAGUCCGGGAGAGGUGAGUGGAACUGCGAGUGUAGAGGUGAAAUUCGUAGAUAUUAGGAAGAACACCAGUGGCGAAGGCGGCUCACUGGCCCGGUACUGACGCUGAGGCGCGAAAGCGUGGGGAGCAAACAGG
rnacentral:rRNA from 1 species